AGCAGUAGCCGCGGUAAUACGGAGGGUGCAAGCGUUAAUCGGAAUUACUGGGCGUAAAGCGCACGCAGGCGGUUUGUCAAGUCAGAUGUGAAAUCCCCGGGCUUAACCUGGGAACUGCACUUGAAACUGGCAGGCUAGAGUCUUGUAGAGGGGGGUAGAAUUCCAGGUGUAGCGGUGAAAUGCGUAGAGAUCUGGAGGAAUACCGGUGGCGAAGGCGGCCCCCUGGACAAAGACUGACGCUCAGGUGCGAAAGCGUGGGGAGCAAACAGGAUUAGAUACCCCUGUAGUCCCUGUCUCUUAUAC
rnacentral:rRNA from 1 species